rnacentral:lncRNA from 1 species
CUUGCGAGCUGACCAGGAACUAAGUUGUGGCGCCGUUGAUCCGAGAGAUUUGGUUGGAUGCUGGUGGUGAGUUGCCGAACCCAACGAAUACAUUCUGAAGUCGGAUGGGGUGACGGAUUAGGGUGCCCCUCUAGCAGGGGAGAGCAGGGAACUGCCUCCAAGGGAAAGGGGGCCGCUGGCGAAGUUAACCACCCUGUAACAACAUACAUACAUACACACACACAAAUUACGUGCACAUAUGCACGCCCCGUUGGUAUCUUGCUUUUUUUCUUCAAGCUGCCGGUCGCAUCACAUUGUAUUGUACCACCAAUUUGAGUUCCUAAAGCCUAAAGCCUAAAGCGGUUUCACCCCAGUUGCGGGUACAUAAGGCCCGUAAGGCCGCAUUACUCUCCAUCCGACUACGCCAUCGUAUAUUACGUCGUCCCACAUAUCUCCGAAACCCCAAUCGUACUGCCGUAUCAGGAACCCCGCAAACUACACGGGCGGCAUUCUUUCCUUCGCGGACGGUGCGGGGAGCGACAACCUCGCCAUUACCCCGCUGUUGCGACGCCGUGUAACCCACAUUGUGGCGUGUACGGCCGCGCUGCACGCCGCCGACCGAAGCCCCGCGGACUGGGCCGUGGGUGAGGAGGCGGCAGAGGGGGCAGAGGGUUAGGGUUAGGGUGGGGAAGAGGUAUACAUAGCGAGGGCCGGGGAGAGUUUGGGGGUUGGGGGGAGAGGUGAGGGAAUAAGGUUAUCACCUUCUCGUCGUCCUCUGGUCUUAGAACAAGGACGUUGUUCAUUUUACUUCAUUUUCACACUCACAACCACCACCCUGGCAGUACACGCGCAUUAUCCACGGCCAUCAGCACUAUCAUCUCACCUCUGCCACCCACCUUUUUCCUAUAUGGGCUCACGCCUUCCCAAGUGUAUGUGUUUUUAUUUCCUUUUACCCCGUCCACUCACGCGCCGUCCCCCUCUUUCACGCUCUCUUCCUGUAGCCCAGUACGACGUCGCCGGAUUGUUUGGUGCCGUACCUCUAAAUGCAACCAGCUAUAAGGGACUCAAAGGCGGACUCACGGGUGUUCAACCCGACGUCUUUAACCGUGCCUUACAGGUAGGCCGUUAGUUGUUAGGUGGUUGGGUAGUUGGGUAAUGGGGGUUUUGUGUACUUCGGGGUUUUAGGGCGGUUGGGUGGCGAUAUGUACUGGGUGGUUAGGUGGUUGGAUGGAGGGGUGGUUGCGCUGUCGGUUGGGAAAGUGGACUGCCUGUAGUGAGUGGUGUUAGCGUUACGUCAAGUUAUCGUGUUAUCCGCUGCCUUUUCUGCUGGUUGUCUGUCCGCAUGUCUGUCCGUCUGUCUGUCCGUCUGUCUGUCCAUCCGUCUGUCCGUCUGUCUGCGUUGCUGUCUGCCUGUCUUGGUGACUGGCCGGUUGGCUGAUGUGGCAGCGGUUGGCUGCUGGGAGGAACGGCUAGUAGGCACAGGCCGGGGUUCAGGUUGUGCAAAGAGGGGAAACGAAAAACACACACGCACGCACACAGCUGCACCCGGUUCCCAAAACCCCCAACGACGAAACCGCGGCGGCAUCCGUACUGUCAGAUAAUCGUACAUGCAUUCUCAGGUAUUCCCGCGAGAAGGGUACGACGAGCUGUACGACACGCUGCGUGGCGGGUUAACAUAUGGGCAGCCUGCCAUUCACCGAGCGUCGUACCCGGUGCUGUCGAAUCCUUCACAAGCCGUUAUUGGCGGUUGGGUGGUUGAGGUGUUAUGGAUCUUCAAUAUGAAGGUACGCCGAUGUGGGGUCCAGGGCUCCUGUAUCUGUCUUUUUUCGAGCGGUUGGUACCGUUGGUUGGUGUAACGCUUGUAUACUACGUUACGACAUCGCGAUUGGUUAGUUGGUGGUUGUUCCCAUCCAGACGAUCUCGUAACUCCACGCCGUACUUCCCAUAACCCAAUCCGUGUCUCCAUUCCACCCUUAACCCAUCAACGAUAAACCACACCCCUUCGUCACACACCCCUCGACAUACCCACCCGACCUGCACAGACUGACCAGUGGGAGCAAAGACUGCCCAAUGACACGCAGGCCUUCUUGAACCUUCAGCGGAACAACACUGGCAGGUGAAAUUUCAACAACUUCCAACUACUAACUAACAACUGACAUGAAGAUGAGGAAAAGCUGCUCACCCCAAAGACAUGAUACAUAUCUUCGUUUUUUUCUCUCUCACAACGUACCUGAGCUAGCCUAACCGAAUCCAACCAAAUCCAUUUAGGCCCAACCGAUAACUGGACUGAUUCAAAAAUUCAAAUUUUCAAACCGAACCUACCAAAAAACUGAUUUACUACUCUGUUUCGCAGCGACCUGCACCAAUACCCCCACAUCUCAACCUACACCGCCAACUAUUCGCCCGAGCUGGUCACACUUCUCAGCCAACAAGCGACUUGGACUGUACUGCAAGCGGCUUCGGAGCUGCUAGAUCUUUUGGAGAUGGCUGGAGUGUCCGCGUCGCCGCCAGCGUCCAGUAUGACAAAUGCAAGCAACAACACCAACGCCACUAACCCCCACGUUAGAAAGAAGAACAGCAACGCCACAACUGCCGGCGUCGGCGCACCUGCGGGUUUCGGAGCCGCCAUAAUGAAUACCACCGCCGCCACGGCAGCGGGGAGGGAACCGGAGAUGCCGUACAACGCAACGACGCAGCAGCCAGUGAACAGAUCGUCUCUGGCGGCCGUGGAGGGACACUCGAUGGCGACGCUCGUACAGUUCGUACAGGCAGAUCCGCAGAAGCAGCUAGCGGGUGUUGCGCCGCAGCUGACGGAGGCAGCACAGCUGGCCGGCGGCUUGCCGGGGGAUGUACGGCAGCCCAGAAAUUCGUACAUUAUGGCGCUUGGAGAGCCGCCGGCGACGAUGAUUCUAUUGCCAGCCACGAACCAGAGCGCCCAGGGCGGCGGCGGGGGGAACGGGGGGAGGAUGGGGCGGUGGUGGCAUGCGGGGCUAGCAUUUUUUGCUGUACAAAUUAGUACGGCAGUGCGGUUGGUGGACCUUGGGGGUGCCACUGGGCGGCGUCGGUUUGGGCGUGUCGGAUGUCGAGCGGAACCUUCUUAUCAGCUGGGGAUGACAUGUACGACAGGGUCUUAAGGUAAAUUUCCACAUCGUAACGUACGCUCGUACACUCGCACGGGACGCAUCAGCACCUUUCUCUUGUGGUACGGUUCAGUACUCAGUAAAUGAUCUAAGCCCUAAAAGCUUUCAUACGUGUCAUACAAAUGGGGUUAGGAGGGAAGGCUGGUGGCGCACUUGGACGCUGCAAGGCUGGAAAUAUGCAAGAUAAGUAGGCUAAAGCUGGUUAUCACUGUAAUAGGUGUUAGCUUGUUGUUUAUUGUUUGCUAUUGAAGCGAUGUGAGAGAUUUGACCCAGGGGACGGGUCGGUGCGGAAAGAGUUGGCUUUAUGCGCGUUGGAUAGCUUACGAACGGAAGGAGUUUGCAUCCUUUACCUCUCCCUUGAGAUGGAAUGCAUCGGCGCAUCAUUUGCAUAACGUGGCCAACGGAAAGCAGUUUUAUCUUGGGUCCCAUGCAUCGGAUUUGCUCACGCCGAGAGAGAAGAAACUGUCUGUCGUGCCCGUGUGCAAAACGAUUGUGGAGAUGAUUCGCUUGCGUGGCACAACUCAUAAGAGUUGCUAACAGUCAAACAUGCUGGCUAAGUCUUUUCCAGUUUAACCUUCAACACAAGCAGACCAUACAAGCUAUCCAUAGCUAGAUGUGGUUGAGUCAUAAUCGUCCUCUUAAUCGUCCUCUGUGCUGCUCCCGAUGCAGCAGCGCAAACGGCGGCCUUUUGCACAGCUUCAGAAGCUCUCAGGCGCGUGUUCCUCCAGUCGCAGCUCCUGCCGCCUUUCGCGACGCCACCAGCACCUCAGCUCCUUUAAAUUCCGGAGACGCAAGCAAGGACGAUUUCGGAGAUGCUGCACUGUUCACGGAGGCUUUUGCUUUGCGUUCUUCUGAGGUCACGCCAAGCAGCUCUGACGUCACGCGCUCCGAACAUUCAGGACUUCUUCACGGCAUCGGUGAAACUGCUGCAAUUGAGAAAGAUUUCAGAUCUGAUAAAGUCGAGGAACUUCAAAUCCAACAAAUCGUUUCGGGAAACUUCUCAGCAGCUGUUGUAAAUGCGGACCAUUCGGGCUCUAUCCAAGCCGCGAAAAAUAGUGCAGAUAGCGAACUCGCCUAUCAACAGCAACGGCAAAAACAGCGGCCCUUGCCGGGUGACCCGGCGGACGCGCUUCCAAACGGACGCGCGACUGCCGUAACUCCGCCCGUUGCGGCGGCGCGGGAGGCCCUCCAGCAGCACCUCAUGCACCACCGCUCUCUCCGGACAGCUCGCUGGAACAGCAUGUACCAGGAUUCCACCGGCGGCGUGAACAUUACUAACGUAACCGGCGGCGGCGACGUUGACGGCAGCGGCGGCGGCAGCGGCGGCGGCAGCGGCGGCAUUAUAGCAAGAGAAAAGGAAGACACAGACGGCCUCGGCAGCGCGGACGCCGACGGAGAGCAGCAUCGCGACGGCAUGGACGUUGGUUGUACGGCGGGCCCAAUGGCAUCAUUUGGCGCGUCUGCUGACGCUACCAACGGCCAGACGCUACUGCCACGCGGGUCACGGCCACCACGGGCGCUGGGACAGCGUUUCAGGCUGCUGCUGCAGCCGGGCCUUGGCGGCGGCGUUGACAACGCCGCCAUGGGGGCGGCGGCGGCGGCGGCGGCGGCGAGAAGCGAUGGCGGGAUGGCGCAGCAGACAGAGGUGGCUGCAGCAGCAGCGGCAGCGGCCCGGUUCCCACCGCCCAUUCGCGAAUCUGCAUCCAAGGCUGCCGCCGCCACCACACGGGAGCCCGAGCCGCCGCCGCCGCCGCAGCAGCAGCAGCAGCAGCAGCAGCGUGGCCGUCACCGGCCGGCGGGUGCCUUGCCGCUGCCGCCGCGGGUCGUUCCCAUCAGCGACGCUAAGCAGCAGCACCAGCGGCGGCGACAGUGUGAGGCUCCGGGCGCUGAAUCAGUGGCGGCGCCAUCGGAAGGUACGGCAUUGGAACGAGGCCAGGCAACGGCGCAGGAGCUAACAGCUGAAGCAGUAGCAGCGCCACAUGGACGAGCUUGGCGGCCUUUUGGCCCGCUACUGCCGCCGCUGGCACUGCGAGGCGUGCCUUGGCCCGCCGCCAGCCUGCUCGGCUUCGCACUGCGGCACCUGGCCGCUAGAAAACCACCGCCGCUGAGGGCAGGUACGGCGGCUAACGGCCCUCAGGUGUCGGCGCCGCCACCGCCACCACCGCCGCCGCAGCAGCAGCCAAACGGCAGCGGGUGCAAAAGACCCGACGCCAGGACCGGCAGCGGAGAUGAUAGCUUAACUGUCGACGGCAGCGACGGUGUAGCGGCGCCGGCACCGUCCCCGCUGACUGGCGGCGGCAGGAUGGAGGUCGACGGCGGCGGCGGCGGCGGCGGCCGGAUUCACAGCAUCGAUCAGGCGCAUGAGGCGCUUCGUCGGAUAGAGGAGGCGUCUGAAGACCAGGCGUUACUGGCCGCGCGGCUGGAGGAGUGGGUGGAGGCGCACCCUGUGGCGCACCUGGCGCUACAGCUGCAGGUGCUGCGCAUUCAGCUACAGCUGCUGCGUGCGCAAGUAAGAAGAGGGCGUGGCAGUGGUGGUCCGGGGGGGAAAGCAGAGCCUUCAGGCGCUUAGGAACGUUGCGCCUGUUGGGUUUGGUUGGUUGGUUGGUUGGUUGGUUACUUGGUAAGGGCCGUUGGUUUCGGAGCUGUUUCCGGUGUGAAAGUGGUUUUGUAGAAAAACGAGGAGUGUGGUUUUAUAGCGCCUAGGCGGCGCAUUACGUUUUUUGCUUGCUUGGAUUGGGGUUGCAAAUUCAUGAAAAAACGUUUUUCGUUUUUCUUCCUUUUCUUCUCAACUAAUGGUUUACGCUUCCAUUUCCUAUUUUCCCCAAGCCAACCCAUGUUGUCCCCCAUAUCUCUGGUAUCUGCUGUUUCAAUCGUCAGUGGUUCGUCUUACCCCGGCACCCCGCCCAUCUUCUCCCCUCGCCGCCCUCUCCACAGACCGCCCUCUGGCGUCCCGUUGAGCUCCUCAACGGCCGCCUGGCCCUGCUCGGCCUAACUGCCGGGCUUUACCAAGAAACUGUCAACCGUUCCCAACUGACCCUGUACCAGCAAGCCCUACACCAUCCUCUCAGCAUUCCCUCCGCGUUCGCUUUGGUCGUAUUGCUGACGGCGAUACACCGCCAAAUUCAACCGCGCAUGAGGACGCGGGGGUUGCUCAUGAGCCCGCGGGCGCAUCGGUGGCUUGGUCGCGCGGCGAUGGUGGGGUUCGUUUGGGCAGUGGUACAGGAGGCGAUGGAUCCCGCGCACCGGCCGGUUGCACAGCAGCUGCGGGAGUGGAUUUUUGGGAUAACUGCUAGAGUUGGAGGGGGAGGGGUGCAUGGACAUGGAGCUGCUGGGGCGGAGACGGGGCUUUUGGACUGGUUGUGGGUUUGGUGGUAAAGGGGAGGCGAGGAAAUUGAAUAAAAAGGUCGUUUUGUUGUUGUUGGUGGUGGUGGUGGUGGUGGUGGUUUUUGGGGUGGGUUGGGGAUGUGAAGGGGGAGGGAGAGAUUGAAAGGUGCCUCUGAUGUAUUGGCUGCCGGGCGGGCGCGUGGCGGGCGCGGCGAGUGCAGCGGCGCGCUGGGAAAGUCCUUUUGUCAGUUGAUGGCGGGGGGGAGGAAAACGCUUUUGGUAACAGUAUUCUUAUAUUUGAAGGACAGACGGAUCCCGCAAGGAUGCAAGGUUUCUGAAGCCGGAAGUGGUUUGUCAAGUAAAGGUGGAGGCGGGUCGGCGCACAACGCAGAAAAAGCGAGGUUGCAUUAGGCUUGGGUUAGUUUGCGCAUUUGCAGGAUGUCUGUGUAACGAAGGACUGGAGCGGGAGAGGGGCUUUUAACGUUUUGAACCGCCAAAUUAGUGGGUUGCCCUGGUUGUCUGGCUGCAAAUUAGUCCAAAGGGAUCACACAAAGGAUUAGUUUGAAGACUACCUCAAUAACAGUGUAUUGUACAUCCUGCACCUUUGGAGGUGUAAUCUGCUGCGGUGCCCAGGUCAAAUAUUUUGCCGUAUGUUUGAAGCCGUUAAAACCGAGCCUUGCGCCCCAACACGUGCUGCCGAGUCCGCUAGGUUGAGGCUGCCUAGUUCAACGGGAACGCAAUAGCCUUAUUUGCAGCCAUACAAAUGAAUAUAGAUGCAUAGCCCAUUCGUCCUAGUACUUCCAUCCAAGUCAAGGUGGGAGGAAAAGUGCUCGUAUCGACAGCAACGCGUGUGCAUAAGAAAUUUUAUCUUCGAUUAUUGUAGGCUAUUUCAUAAAUUUAACAGUUUAGAAACCCACGAAUCGUUUCUUUGUCAAAUUUCACUUGCCAGUUAGCUCUAGAUAUUAGACGCUCAGUGUAUUCAACUCUCCAAGUAAGGAACCAAUAGUCAUGGAACAUUCUGAUGCCUUAAUGGAACAAGACGUCCCUUUAGCUCCAGCUUUUGCACCGAGCGGCGAGGUGUGCUUUGGAGCGGCCGCGGAACAUAGGCAAUUAUGAUUUGGGUAGCUUCAUUACCUUUUGGAACCCUUUGUAGGAUACUCCUCGCUUGGUUUCACCUCGUCGUCCUGACGUGAACGACUUGGCCUCGGCGGGCAGGAGCCCACCUAUAAGCAUUAAAAAAGGCGCUCCAAAGAGUCCGAAUUACGACAUUAGCCACGACCUGGAGGAGCUGGAUGAAAACGUCCUCGCGGAGAUGCUGGUCAAGUACGCCAGUUUCCAACAGCAUAAUGAAAUCCUAAACACUACGCAUCGUUGCUAGAGAACUCACAUGGUGCCCAAAUCGCGAUAGGGUCGAAGUGGGCCGGCAGAGCACGGAACCUUGGCAGUUACUUCUGCCGAUGCCGUUUGCAUAAGAGGAUGCACCAAACCUAGGGAAACCCCUUCCCCCAGACCUGACAGCAACCCCACCACAUCUCCUACCUCAUAACGGCACUCCGCCGCCAUAAUGCAGCCCAACCGCACUCCCGCGCAAAUGCGGUUGAUACCCUUCCUCACCAUGUUCUCCUCGUUCUCCCCCUCACUCGUUGCCCCCUUCUCCCCCAUAACCUAAUUCCUCAACAGGGCUAGCCCCAAGUUCACUGAGCCAUUUGACAUUAGCCAAAUCACCCGCAACGUAAGCGUUGCACGAGCCGCGCGACGGGAAAUGGACGUUGCCUCGUGCGGGGGUCUCAGCGAAAGCUACGCGUCAGGUGCGUGUGUGCGUGCGUGCCUACGUGUCGACAUGCCUCAGCUCAACACCAAGCCGUUCUGUAAAAACCAAACCGCACACAUGCCACGUGCCAGUUUGGGGUCCCUCCGUCCUUCCCCGUUCCUUCAUCAUCAUCAUCAUCAUCAUCAUCAUCAUCAUCAUCAUCAUCAUCAUCUUCUUCUUCUUCUUCUUCUUCUUGCCACCCGGCUUCAGGUUUAGCACUCCGCCUCCUCCCCACCCAACGCAUCCUCUCAACCUCUCCCCCCGUCACCUAGCCCCGACAGCCCCAACCAUUCACACCUUCCAGGGUUUUCUUUUUCUCUCCUCAUGCUAAUGGUUUCCUUCCUCCCAACACCUCCGCGUUCCCCCAUCCCCAUGUCAUCCUCAUCCCGUCUACACUCCCCCCCAACACACACACACAUACACAAAAAAAUAGCUGCCGCGGCGGCCGUCGUCGCAGCGGGCGCUGCUUCCGAGGACGGGCAGAGCUGCAGAAGGUCCAGCGGCGGCUGUACGGUAUCAGUUACCGGCACCAACGGCUUCAUCAACGGUCACGGCAGCAACGGUAUCAACGGUAUCGCUAACGGACUUUGGGGUCCCGGCGCAGGCCCUUUGCACGGACCGCACGGACCAGGUUGCGGCGCCGCCGCAGGCGCAGCCGCUUCUGGGAUAGGAUGCCGUCUGAGCGGGGGCUUUAGCGUCCUGUCAGAGCAGAUGUUAUUAGCUUCGGUUUCGUCAAUCAGUACUUUUGACGCGGAGAUUGCGCGGCAACGAGCGGCGUUGGCGGCCAUUGAGGAUGACGUAGAGGAGGAGAGUCGGGUGAAUCGGGAGAUGGCGGGCAGGAUUACGGAGCGGCUGGAGAACAGUUGCAGGUGAGGGUGAGGGAGCAGCACAAGAAGAAGGCGAGCAGCGCUGGUUCUGGGGGGUCGUUGGUGUUGGGAUGUGGGAGGUAGGUAAGCGGAGUCCGGUUUGGGCUCCAAGCGGGAAAAAAGGCGGGAAAAAGGCAACCGCCUCCUCCCCUUCCCCCUAGUUCCAAAUCCAACUGCCCAACUACCUUUUUGUCAUCGUCUCAUCGUCCCAAACCGAAACUCAAACCUGCAUAUACUAACAACCCAAAUCUGCGUUUGAAAAUCCGAGCCUAAACCUGGAAACAUUUUGAACCGAACCCUGGAUCCAACCAAAUUUGAAUUUUUGAUCCAGGAUUCUCGAGGGGCUCGCUUCGCUCCUGUCCGCUUUGGGUGCGGCUGAAGCUGCCUACUCCGCCGCCAUGUCCGCAGCCUCCCGGGUCAGGUUGUUGGGGUUGGAAAGCGACGACGGCGAGCUCCGUACGGCAGGGGAGGCGCUGAUGAGGAUCCCCUCCGUGAUUGAGCAGGCGCACAGGUUGGCGGUUGCGUUGGCUGGGUAGAGAGGGUGGUAGGUGGGGGGAGGAUAGAGGGGUCGGUGGGGGGAGGAUAGAGGGGUAGGUGGGGGGAGGAUAGAGGGGUAGGUGGGGGGAGGAUAGAGGGGUAGGUGGGGGGAGGAUAGAGGGGUAGGUGGGGGGAGGAUAGAGGGGUAGGUGGGGGGAGGAUAGAGGGGUAGGUGGGGGGAGGAUAGAGGGGUAGGUGAGGGGAGGAUAGAGGGGUAGGUGGGGGGAGGAUAGAGGGGUAGGUGGGGGGAGGAUAGAGGGGUAGGUGAGGGGAGGAUAGAGGGGUGGGGAGGGUAAAGGUUGGGGAGGGUAGGUAAGGGAUAGAGAGGGGAAUGCUCGGUUCUGUUUGGUUUGUUUGCUUCGUAUAGUUGUUACUAAUAAUCAUAUAUGUAAAUUUCCAUCUUGUCAGCGCGAAUAUGUCGUACAUGUGUAUGUAUGUAUGUAUGUAUGUGCGACGUGUGUUUGGAACUUGGUGCGUCAUGCUCUCCGCCAGGCCUCUGCACUCCACCCUCACCGGUACGGCAAAAGAGGUUUCCGUACUCCUUUCCCGGUACCGCGCCGCCGCCCGGGAGCUUUCCACUGAAUCAGUUAAUGCACAACGGAACAUCGACGCAGCGCGGCGACAGUUGGCGGUUGCAUUGGCCGAACAUGUGACUGCCUGUCGUACAUUUGAGGCAGUUUUGGCGGAGCGGCAGCAGCGCCGCCAGCCAACCCGGGGUCCCGAAGCCGAUCCCUGGUUUACGGAGCGGCGGUUGGUUCAGGAGCAGCAGGCGUUACAACGGUGGCAGGACUGCGAGCGAGCGUUACUCAAGACGGCGUUUCAGCGGGUUACGGAGCUGGAGCAGCAGCGGCUGGAGCUUUCGACACAGGUCCGUGUGUGUGUGUGUGUAUGUCUGUAUGCCUGUGCGUGUGUAUGUGCGUAUAUGCGGGCGUGGACUCUCCUAAAAAAUAUAGUUUUGUUAACUAACUGGCUUUUUUUAUUCGAGUAUUAUAUGGCUGUGUUUCAUAACUGGCUUCAUAACUGGGUUCAUAAUAUUGGAUCAGCAUCAACUAAAUAAACCACUGAAUUUGAAAACACGACAACACCAACACCACCAACAACACCACCAACAACAACAACGACAACAAUAAUAACUAGUUCCUGAGGAGCUCUGUUGAGAGGAGAUGUUGAAGUCUUUAAAAAAGGAGGGCAGGGGGAAGAGUCUUGGCUGGGGGUAUUGAAACCAAACCAAGGUCAACGGUAUUGAAACCUAGGUCAACGCCAGGUCAGCCAGCCGCCUUCCUCUCUCUCUCCCACCCGCCACCCAACCCGCCCCGAAACCCCUCUUUUUCCCGCACCUCGCGACGUUGACCUCGGCCAUCGUAGGCUCCUUCCCGCUAUUUUGUUUUUUGAUAAAAAAAUUGAGCCGUUAAAAAUAAUAAUGUUGCUAAGAGGAUUUUUUUGAUUCUGGGCGCAUCACGGGAGAUCUUCAUCCGCCGAUCGGUGCUUUCCUGAAGUGGUGGUAGUCUUGAUGAUACAACACCCGCCUUUUGCUGCAUAUACGGCCCCCCUUCUUUCCCACUUGCCUUGCGCGUAACGAAAAAAACGACUAACCGUCGACGUUGAAACGAGGUAAUGGGUUACUCCUUUAGUAGGACAUUACCAAUAGUACAUUCGACACGUCAGCCAUUACGGAAUAACUGAUGCAGUUGAUCUGCACUUGAUCUGCGUUUCGUCUGCACUUCCAUCUUUCAUCUUGGCGACUGUGUUUUAUUGUUCUUGUCGUUGUUGUUCUUUGUUCUCCAGGCGAUGACAGUGGCGGUGGACAGCUACCGCGCCGCCUUGCUACCGCUGCAAACGGAUCUGGAGUCCAUGACGGUGCGUGUGGAGGGGACUGGGGGGGGGACUGGGGGCACUGGGGGGUGGAUGGGGGGAGAAUGUUGGGGGAGAGUGCUGGAUGGGUGUUGGGGGGUGAUUUUUAUGUUGGGACGGUGAGUGGGAGUAAGGUCCAUUGGGCCUUUAGUGCUGCUGCUUCUGUUGCUGUCACUGUUGCUGCUGUUGGUGUUGUUGCUGCUGUUGCCUUACGGUGCGAACAACUUCCCCCCUCCCCCCCAACCCCUUCCCCCCCGGCCGCGGAAUGGGAGGUUCAUAGGCGAUUUAGCGGUUUACACCGCUUUAUACGGGGUGUUCGGAAUGUUGCUCUUUACGUGCACUUAAAUUUCCCCCCCCCCUCUCCCUCUCUCUGGCCCCCCUCCUAAACCACUAAGCAUAUGUCGUCUCACCGUAUUUCACUUCCUAGGACUAGCCCUCGAUUGCCUCUCAGCGCGGUCUUCCUCCCCCUCCCUGGCUGGCGCCCCAAUAGGCGGUGCUGCAGGCCAUCCAGCCCGAUGUAAAGCUCAGCACCUUGCGUGACAUGGCCGCCACCGCCACUCGUACGGCGGAGGGGCUCGCGGCGCGGCAGGCGGAGUGUCUACACAGCGUGUGCCAUGAACUGUUUUGCUCGCCGGAGAUUGUACGGCAGGGUGAUUUGCAGGUUUGGGAGCCGGCCACGGAGCGGUGGCGUAAAUGCCACUUUGUCCUGACGAGAGCAGGUGUGUAUAUGUAUGUAUGUAUGUAUGUAUGUAUGUAUGUAUGUAUGUAUGUAUGUAUGUAUGUAUGUAUGUAUGUAUGUAUGUAUGUGUUUUGUGGGGGGGGAGGAGAGGAAGGGAAAAAGGUGAGGGCAGUAGGUGCCUGGCCGGGGGUUCAGGUUUGCUGCUUGCUUGCUUUGCUGCUUUCGUGGCGGCGGUGGUACUGCCGCUACUGCCACUGCUGCUGCUGCCACUGCUGCUGUUGCUNNNNNNNNNNNNNNNNNNNNNNNNNNNNNNNNNNNNNNNNNNNNNNNNNNNNNNNNNNNNNNNNNNNNNNNNNNNNNNNNNNNNNNNNNNNNNNNNNNNNNNNNNNNNNNNNACAUGCAUACAUACAUACAUACAUACAUACAUACAUACAUACAUACAUACAUACAUACAUACAUAACCGGGGAAAGGGCGGGGAAAGGGCGGGGAGAGCCGGGGGGGGAGGGGAAGAGGCAGAGAGAGCACCAAGAGGAUGUAGGGUUGAGGGGUGGUGAGUGGAAACAGGUGGCCGUAGCGAGGGCGCGGAUGAGGGGGAGGUGGGCACCCAGAAGGGGGGGCCGUACUCGAAGGUGCGCGCGUGGUGCAGGACUAGGUUCUUCAGGGUACGAGACCGGGUUUUUCGUGUUGCGGCGUCUAGGUGAGAUAGGAUCUUGGGAACCAGCCGUCUUGGUAGAGCGGUAUUGGGGGGGCGCCGAGCUGGCUACCCUCCCCCCUUGUGGUUUCCGGAGGCUUGAUCGCCCUGCGUUGCCGCAGGGUCUUCCCGUUUGAGUACUUUUCAAGUUAGACCCAGUGCUGUGGAAGGGCGCGGACUUGUGCGGUGUUACCCCCCCGACGGGUGCUAUCUCCCCUGGACUAGCCCAGGGAGGGAGAGGCGGAGGAGGGUAGUAGUCUCAGGAGGCUGUUUGGCGUCUUGUGGUGUGAGCUCUUUGCGCUCUUUUUUUGCGUGAGGAUUUUUGAGCUUGGUGACCUCCCCAGCCCGGGAUGACUCGUCGGGCUUCGUGGCGGUGGUACUGCUGCCACUGCUGCUGCUGCUGCUGGUGCUAUUGUUGCUUGCGUUCAAAUGGGCCCAUACAUACAUACAUACAUGUGUGCUCCCGACCCUUGCGCUGUGUUUCGGCUUCGGCCCCCGGCUCUCGCGGCCCACAGUGUAAUCUAAGUCAUACAUACAUACAUACAUACAUACAUACAUACAUACAUACAUACAUACAUACAUACAUACAUACAUACGUACAUACAUACAUACAUAGUGGGUCUCUGUGGCUUCGCAGUGGAUGGUGGUACGUAUCAUGUCCAGCGCUCUCCGGCGUCUCCACCCGGCGGUGAUAAUGAUGUGAUGAUGUAUAUCACAAUACAAUGAUAAUGAUGAUCAUGGCGAUGACGAUCAUCAUCAUCAUUAUCAUUAUCAUCAUCGUCGUCGUCAUCAGUUUCUCCGAUCCUCUCGCUGCCCCAUCAGGCCGCCUCCUGAUCUCGCCCUGACACACGCCCUGAUCUGACCCAUGGGACCCUCCUCAAUACCUUGCAUGUGGCCUAAACAGGCUACCUCCACUGGGUCACGCGCGCAGAGGAGGUCCGCCCGCUGGACUCGUUGGCGUUGGGGCGAUCCACUUUUGAGGCGGGCAAGGUGUGUGGUGGGAGAGUGGGAUCUCCUUCUGAGGCUGGUCUUUGCAGCGUGUCCGAUUUGUGAGGCCUUGGGAGUGGAGUGCUGCACCCUGGGAUGCAAGCAGUCGCCAGUUGACGUCACAUAAGUCCCCUUGCCGGCCUUUUUCCCUGGCUCUACCCCGUAUUUACCCACCCGUAUCUACCCACCCGCCUAUACCCAUCCACCUACCUACCCACCUACCCGCCUACCUAACCCGGCUGUGCUGCCCCCAGGCCCCCCGCUUCAAUAUUUUGGAGAUGCCCAAGGGAUCCAGCUGGCUCGGGGGAAUACGGGGGCGGAGACUGUCCUUCCAGGUGAGCGAGUGAUUGAGCGAGUGAGUGAGCGAGUGAGUGAGUGAGCGAGUGAGUGAGUGAGUGAGCGAGUGAGUAAGCGAGUGGGUGAGCGAGUGAGCAAGCGAGUGAGCGGGUGAGUGAGCAAGCGAGUGAGCGGGUGAGUGAGCAAGCGAGUGAGCGAGUGAGUGAGCGAGUGAGUGAGUGAUGAACGAGUGGGUGAGCGGGUGAGUGAGCAAGCGAGUGAGUGAGCGAGUGAGCAAGCGAGUGAGUGCGCGAGUGAGCAAGCGAGUGAGCGGGUGAGUGAGCAAGCGAGUGAGCGGGUGAGUGAGCAAGCGAGUGAGCGAGUGAGUGAGCGAGUGAGUGAGUGAUGAACGAGUGGGUGAGCGGGUGAGUGAGCAAGCGAGUGAGUGAGCGAGUGAGCAAGCGAGUGAGUGAGCGAGUGAGCAAGCGAGUGAGUGAGCGAGUGAGCAAGCGAGUGAGUGAGCGAGUGAGCAAGCGAGUGAGUGAGCGAGUGAGCAAGCGAGUGAGUGAGCGAGUGAGCAAGCGAGUGAGCGGGUGAGUGAGCGGGUGAGUGAGCAAGCGAGCGAGCGGGUGAGUGAGCGAGUGGGUGAGCGAGUGAGUGAGCGAGUGAGUGAGUGAUGAACGAGUGGGUGAUGAGCGAGCGAGUGAGUAAGGGGGAAAGGGGGGCACUGGCCUGGGGACAUGCCGGCCCGCCGCGCUCUCGUCUCGUGGCGCGUGGCUGCUGAAUCUCUUGGUGUCGGCUUUUUCCGUCUCCUCCUUCUUCUCCUUCUCCUCCUUCUUCUGCAGCUGCUGCUCCUUCUCCUCCUUCUUCUUCUUUUUACUUCUGCUGCUGUUGUGAGUAGCAGUGGCCGAUGACUGCCUUUUUAGUGAGGGUUGUGGGCGCCAGGUGCCCCGGAGCCGUUGACCCACGGUAGCGCUCACCCACGUGACGUCUUCUGCAGCCGAUUGACGACGAAAUGGCUGUUUUGCUUCGCCCACCAUGUCACUGCUGCUACUGCUACUGCUACUGCUACGGCUGGUGCUGUCUGUCGAGCGCAACGGCUCCGUCCUGGCUCCUCCUGCUGUUGCUGCUGCUCCUCUUGCUCUCUUUCAUUCAGGCGAGCAGCGUUGAGGAGUGUUGCGAGUGGGCCAUUGCCAUUCGGGACGCCAUCGCCGUGGCUGCCGGCAAGCAGCUCGCCUUUGAGGAGGACGAGGGGCCGGAACACCGACAUUCGCCCUUUGUUCGCCCUUUGUAAUCUUUAGCGUACCAGGUGGGUGUAGGAGGUUGAGGUGGUUGUAGGAGGUUGAGGUGGUUGUAGGAGGUUGAGGUGGUUGUAGGAGGUUGAGGUGGUUAUUAAAGUUAUAAAUGCGAACGGGAGCCUCCCUGGAUGACCCCCUGUGCUCUGUUCACCGAAGGAACCUCUCAGAUGAGGUUUCCGGCCGGUGGUGAUGGUGAUGGAAGUGCACCUGGGGGCAGAGGCACCUGUUUACCGCAUAUACACGGACCCCAUGUGUGUGUGUGCUUGCGUCUCUGCACUCUCUCCUUAGCGGGAGGAGAGGGCGUGAGGGGCCACAGUCCCCUCCUGCUCGACCGAGGGCGCGCAAUCCUCUGUGUGUAUGCGUGUGUGUCUGUGUUUGUGUCUCUGUAUGUCUCUCUGUGUGCCUGUGUGUGCAGAACUCGAUCGAUAGAUCAAGGGAGGUUGCGAAAGGUAAGAAGAUGGGGAGGAAGGAAGAAACGCUCCCAAGUUGUGUAUGCAUGCGUUGCUUUGUAUGAGGUGGACACGAGUUUACACGAAGGGGGGAGAAAGAGUUGCGGACCUGUUUGCACUGCCGUGCUUACGUGUGUAUGUGCAUGUGCAUGGCAGUUGUGUCAUGCGGCAAACGGACUAAGGACGUCUGUAAAAACAUUUUUGACUGUCUAUAGGGCGCACCCUGGUAUGCUUAGGAAGGGACGGCCCCCACCUAAUAUACCACGGCAGUGCGCAUGGUCUAUAGACGAUCGAAAUUCUUACUGGCGGACCGAGCGGGAUCGUACGGAACUGGACCGAAUUGAGCGGAUUGUACGGAACUGAAUUGCAUAGAACCAGGCUGCUCGUCUCGGGUUGAAGACCACCUUAUUGGUACAGACAGACAGACAGAUAGACAAUGCAUGAGAGUGGAGAGGGCGCGUUGAGUUGGUGUUGAGUAUGAUGCUCCUGACAUAAUGUGACCACAUUUUGUCAUGGCCUGGAAUCGAACUGGCGAUCAGCCGUUUGAGCGGUUUGUGUGUGGUGGGCUGGAACGAAGCAUCCUGAAGGAAGCAUUCUGACAAGGUGGGAGACAGACAAACAGGCAGGCAGGCAGUUUAAUUGUGUGCGGAUGUGGUCGAGUAUGCAUAUAGGCGGCGGUGCUUGUGUAUUCUGUUAAAGGAGCUUGGAACUGUGCCGGCUGCUGCGGCCCUGUGUGCGAGGAGUGAAAGUCGUAACAGGAGUGGACAGAUAUUUUGGGAUGGAGUAGAUGGAGUGCGAUAUGGGACGCGAGGGGAUAUUUUGCAUGCCUCCACAUACAGAUUAUCGCAUGUGGCGCAUGUAGUACAGAUGAUGGUUCGUGCCAUGAAGGCCUCUGAUCGUGGUAUGCCUGAUGACAUUUCACAGAAGGAUGAGUGAGAUUAUUGCCGAACUCGGUCAGAGGAGCUGUUAUUACUAUUAUGGUGACGAUGAUGAUGAUGAUGUAGCAUUCGCACGGGCAUGCGGCGUCUGCGGGGCGUAGAAGCUAUCUGGUGUGUGUGUGUGUGUGUUAAAUAGCCAAGUUGCAUGAUAAUGUGUCGCCUUGUGAAGAGAGUGUUUUGUUUUGCUUGGGGGAAGUAAUACUGGGGGUUUUAUGGGGUCAUGCGCGAGGGACGGUAAUAUGUCUGUUUGCAUUCAUGAGUUGAAGGACAGUGUGCGGUGGGAUGAAGUGGAAAGUGAAGGACUGUUAUACUGCAGGAACCCUGGCUAACGUCCUUUAUACGAGUUACAGAAUCUUCGGUUCGCCUAGUUUUAUGGGCCUAAUGCGCACGGACGGCGAAUGCUAACCCACGAUUGCCGUACCUACGACAAUCAGUACGGCGGGCUGGAUGUCAAAUCUAAGGGGUUAUAACCGUUGUGCCGAUUGGUAGUUUCUAUGACCUGUUGGGACUUUGCGGGAAAGUCGAAAAGCAAUUAAUUUCCUGUCUCGUACACAGACGGGGCCAAGGAGUCCUCUCCUUCGCUCCUUCCCAUCGACUUCGGUUUUUAGUAAAACGGGUGAUAUGACCUUUCCAUAAAUGUUUGAUGGCGUUUACCCUCGCUUUUGGCGGCAAGCUCCUUGUGGCUGCAUGUGCCGUAUUUUCGCCUCCGAAGACCUGGCAUAUGCAUAUAUAUACUGGAAUCAUCAGCAGGCUCCAAUCACGACGGUUUGUUUUUCUCCCUGGCAUUGUUGCAUCUCACACACCACAAAUUUGGAAAGCCCUGGCCAUGCCAAUGGCGACCAUGCCAAUGGACCUGAUCUGUAUGUGUGUAAGUAACGACGAGAAAAGGUCCGCAAUCGUAAGCCAUGGGGUAUACAGCUGCCCGGUAUCGUAGAAUACGUGCGGCAUACGUGCGCUGCCUUUAAUUUCCCGUAGGCGAUGUUUUGCUUGUUAGCAGUGAAUAACCCACACUUCCCUACGGUUCUACCGAGAAUUUUCUGUUUGGCUUGAACCACAUUCCAACACAGUACAACAGCACAAAAGCGGGUGUGGAAGGGCAAUUGAAUAGUUCUACCACGACUGUGUGAAGAGCUAUCUGCUACUGUAUGAAGGCCAGUCCCCGCUAUUGGGACACAUGCAUGUGUACGAACGUGUACCCGAGUUAUCAAAAAGCGGUACGGGACCGUCGCGCGUGCGUACGUAACGAAGGUCCGCCGGUAAAUUCCGCGGGCCACUUGCAGCACACUGCUAGAUUUACAUUUUAAAAAAGUGCCGAUGCACAGACAGACAGACGGACGGACUGCGGUGGCGCUGGUGGGUGUGUUCAAGCUGGCCUUCCAGGAUAAAACAUGUGGCGCUUAUUCAGUUCAGUGAGCGCACAAGUCAUUUAACAUCAUUUUAUGUUAAAGCUCCGUUUCUAACCAACAUGACCAUUUAACUCGUGUCGAAUUCUCUAUCGAUGCACCGAGGGAAUUAAUUCAUAUAAAUCUGUGCGGAAAAAGAGGCAGCGCAAUACUCACAAGUCUGUGCUUCCACCUGUCUGUAAAAUAUCUCUAAAAACAACUUGCCGGUAAAGACCCUCCCCUUUCUCUCCCCCGCUGCGUACCUACAACGCUGCAUCCUUCCCGCCGGUCGCUCCCCCUGCACCCCCUAAAGUCAAAACACUCACCACCUGCCGCUUCCGCCGCGUGCUCCAAAGUCGCUCCAAAAUCCAAACUAACCUUCCCUCACCCCGGGCAUGAAUGGGCGCAUUAAGGUAUGCGAAGAGAGCAGGCCGUCCAUGGCCGUCAAGCCCAGAGCAGACAGGUCAACAAGCCGCAUAUCUACUACCAGGACGAGAGGAAAGGGAGGGACUUGUCCUCACUCACAUGUGCACAUACACACACACACACGAGCUCCAAAGCCGGCCCAACACAAAGCCCCAGUCAAGCCGCAGUCAAAGGGCCUCUCUCUUUAUCCUCCUAUCCUCCUGUUCCGCUUGAGUCCUGAAUGGAGGAGGACGCGACACAAAACCCACAUCGCCAUUCCGGUAGCCACAACAAUACACGAUGCAGAUGCAGAUGCGCCGCAAACCAACGACGGCCACCUAGUUGAUGCCUCAGAUCAGACGUAGCGUUGCGCUGCCUGUCCACACCCCACCAGUCCAACGCAUCUGGAGUUCUACCUACCGUCCUGGCCACAUGCAACUGUAGACAACUCGCGCGCAUCAACACCAGCCUGAAGUACACCAGCCCACGCACACAUCCACAGCUGCCGUCUACACGCACGCACACACGCACACUACAUGAGCAAGUCGUAGUCGUCCAGCUUGUCGUUGUACUUGAGGACCUUCCGCUUCACCUUGGACGUGUCCACCCAGGUCACGAAGUCCUCCAUGUUGCGUGUCACGUGGAAGGCGGGGUCGGUCACGGUGUCAGGACCCACACGCACGUGACCCUGCACGGCCGGCAGAGGGGUGGGGAAGGGGAAGGAUGCGAGGGAGGAACCCACGCCAAGGUGUAGUGGGAGGGUUGUUGGAAUCGCGUGGACGGGGGGGUUCCGGUGGAUAAUUGUACGAAUAUGGGUGCAGCCAGCUGCGAUGACUCGCGACAGCAAGGCCAAAAGACGCAAGGCCAAAAAAGGCCUCGGAUUUUAUUGGUUGCUCAAUAUAAUUAAGCUAGGGGCCCGAGACAUGACCUCUGAGGACGAAUGACCUUCUGAGGACGAAUGAACAAGAUUUUCUCUGGCUGGGAAAAUUCUCUUAUUUAUGCACGACCACGGUAGACACGCGGUGUUCGGAACGGCGCCGAAUCGCGCGGAAAUCGAGUCGGUAUGUCAUUGUGCAAGAUGAUGUGAUGAAGACGACACGCUGUGCUGAGUCUACGCAGGAGGGUUUACGCAGGAGAAGUAUAAAAGCGUGAAAUAAGCAUAUGCUGCGUUAUUAUUGAUCUGGGUCGAGAUCAUCGAGGCCCGCAGUGAUCGAGGCCCCUGUAGGGUACAUGCAGUGGAUAGUCACGUUGGGAUCUGAAUCCGUUUUCGUUCCACCUGACUUCCUGUACAGCCUGCAAGGCCACCAGCGUCCCUCCCUCCUCCCUUCUGCUCCCACCUGCUCGAUGAAGGUGGCAGCCUCUCGCAGCGUUUCCGACAUCUUGAGUCGGACCAUGACCACCGCCAGCCGCCGCCGGCAGAACGCGGCCGUGGCCAGUUUAUCGCACUGGACCAAGCUCUUCUUCGUGGGGAGGACACCCAUGUUGUAGAGCCUGUGAACAGGGUUAUAGCGCGAUCAAGAACUGCUGCUGAAGCUGUGCUAGUUACUACACGUGAAUGGGGGAUAAGGUGGGAGGAGGGCGAGGGUGGGUGGCCGGAACACGACAUGGGCCCACGCCUGCAGCUCGACUCACUUUUCCAAAAGCUGGUCAGUCAACUCUAUCCUCGUCGCGUCUUUGGGGUCUAGCCGCUUUAGCAUGCUGGUAAGCUUUGUAAUCAUGCCGCAUAUUUUAUUGUACUUCUUGUAGUCGUCGCGGUCUUGAAUGUGGUAUCGCCGCAAGACCUGCCGGCGGCGGCAAACCAUAGAGCAAGGCAAAGCAACGAUUUCUCAAAUCAUGAGUUGUCGCCAACUUGUAGACGACGACUGUCCGAAGCACACACCUGGAGCUCGCGGACAUUGUCGUCGCUCUUCCAUCGUAGAAAGUCCACCUUCUUCAGGAGUUUUUGCUCAUGAUAUUUUAGCUGACGCAUUCUUUCACGAUCUGAGUUCCUUACUGCUUACAACCUUUCUUCACCGGGACACUUCUUGGACUGAAAAGCUUACUCAGUAAAACGUAGCGAGCGAACACAACAAUCAACUAGACUUUAAUGCACGACUGCACGCAUGCCGACAAGCAGCCAUGACGACUCAACUUCUAGGUCACGACAGGUUCUGGAGCGUCCGCCAAUGUGCCGCCAAUGACGACGUAUACCGGCUGGGUGGGUCAAAUUACUAGGAAAUAGCAACGAUUCAGACAGCGUUUACAGGCGUACCUCUCUUCACUGCGGUAAAUUGGUGGCUCGGAUUAUAACAUGACUGACAACCGCUGGCAUCCACAAAAAUCCUAAAUAGCUUAUAGUUUUUUUAGAAGCAACAAUAGGAGAUCUACUGGCUGUGGUCAUUUCCUUCUUCUGAGGGCCUUACAACCGUACCAUUGAUCGCUUUAACAGCUCCAAGAUUGACUCAGGAUUUUGUUGCUCUAACCUCCGCCUUCGGAACCAAUGGCAGCCUACGUGUUACACUCUUCUGGAUCUUUUGUUGUGGGACGGCUAGCUGUCGCACGCCCCCGUCGGGCAAUUGUUGUUCCGGAGAGGUCACAAUGGACAACCCACGCCAUGGCAAAUGUGCACCACAGAGAUUGUCUGGGAUUACGCCAGGAUUCAAUUGGCCCCGCUUGCGUUGCUAAGGUGUUAGGACCAACAAGCGAGGAGCGAGAAAGCGAAGAACGCUUUUUGGAUGUCCACGCAAUCCUGAGCGAAUACAACCCGCUUACCGGUAACCAUCUUCUAAUCUGGGAGGAUAGUGAUGACGAAGAUGGUGCCGUCCAAGCAGAGUUGCCUCAGCUUGGUGCCUGGGAGGAUUCCUCCAGCGGAUAUCAAGGACUAGAGCACCAACCGGUACGUGCCGAGCCAUGAUGCCAAGCAAGGAUGGGAACGAAGCUUUAAAAAACCUUAAUACCAGGUGCCCAAGAGUUGCAGUUGUACAGGAAGCGGUGUCGUCCGUGACCAAUACCGGUACCGUAUCAUACGUUCGGUGAUCGACGUGCCUACCUUCCAGCUGCAGAAAUGCACUAUGCUUAUCCCUCGGCAUGCCGAUGCAACUCGCUGAUCUGAAGGCGCCCACGACUCAAAGCCAGAGACUGUUUGCCUGGAAAACUGUCUGACCUGUUACGUCUCGUACGCCCAUCCUCGGAUUUUAACGCAGUCUUGGAUAGAUUACCGCGACGGUUCCGAGUCGGAUGACCCUGAACGACUGCGGGGGCCUACUGGCGCGUACAACGCCCUCGCCGCCGUUAUGCCCGAGCUUGUCGAGGACACAACGAGCCCUACCAGCGCCUACUCGCCGGAGGCUGGGUUUCAGGUGCGUGUGGCGUGAAGAAGAGCCGUGAAAGAACGAAGUUCGGUGAUGUGGGUUAGCCGCAGUGGCACGGAUUUCCAAAACCCCGCUAGCAAAUUUUGAACCAACAAAGCUCGUUACUGGUAAAAACCGCUACUAGCGGCUGUCGUUUGUGGGGAUAAGAGACUGCAUAUGGGACUGCAUAGGAGAAUGCAACCCAUAAUUCUAAAGGCGACGCUGAUGAGCCAUGGCCGCUUCUGCCGCCUUUGGGAAGCCAACACGUAAACUGCCGUCGUGGCGUGCGAUUCAAAGUUGGGGCCACCCCAUCAGCUACGCCACAUGGCCAUGCCCUGUUCCCUUUCUCGUGCUCUUUCAUUCUUUCCUUCCUGUCUGCUGCAUUUUCCGUCCAUUUCGCCACUGCCAUGCGCGAUCACUUUGCAGCUGUUUGGCAACAGGAAACAGCAACUGUACAAUGCGAGGUUAUUGUCGAGUGCCCACCGCUUUUCGUUGCGCAACUACACCCAGCAUUUUCGUUGUUGUACUUUUACUGCAAUGGUCGUACUUACCGCAGGAGAUAUCCGUGGUGGAGCUGGAGGAGCGCCUCGCCACGGGCCAGUUUUCGCUGCUGCUGGAUGUGCGCUCGCGGCACGAGUACGACAGCGGGCACAUAGCUGGAGCAUUCAACCUUCCUCUGGAUCCGGAUCUCUCUUCAGCAGCGCGCAGCGGCUCAUUGGACGAGUUCAAGGACCGGUCGGUGGCAGUGGUUUGCGGUUCGGGCAUGCGCUCCGGGCAAGCGACUGUACGGCUGACCAAGGUGUUCGGAUUCAGCAACGUUACCAAUGUGAAAGGAGGCAUGGUGGCCUGGACCCAGGAGGGCCUACCUAUGCAGGUGAUGGCACAUCAGCACCGCGGCAGCAGUGGUGGUGGAUGCGGCUGCGGUGGAGGCGGCGGCAGCGGCGGUUGCAAGAGCAAGCAAACAGUCUGAGCGCCUUUCCCUUUCUCAACUCUUGAUUCUUGCGUUACGUUUGUAGUGAAUUCUUUCCGUGAGUGAUUUGGAUUACGGGUUUAUUAUUUAGCAAUUGGUGUUGAGUUUCGCAGGUUACGAACUGCAGGCCCGGUCACCUGCCAACCGCGCCGUCGUAACGCCGCGCCCUGACUUUGGAGAAAGGGACUUGGUGUCACCAUUGCAUCUCAACAGGAACCAUGUAUAGUAUCCUUCACUACCUACCACGUACCCUUGUACCGAGCAGGCUUGUGACAUGAGAUUCCUAGCAUUAUUUUUGUGCUGUGCACAUAUUCGUUUUCAAGUGACAGGGCAGCUUGCAGGGUAGCCGACUUGCUGGCAAUUUAGGGGGAAUAACUAAUAAACAAACUAUUCCCUCAGUUCUUAUGGCGGUUGGAUGACGGUUGCGUCUCCGCGGUAAUUAAGGAAUUGUGAUUAGAACACAGCGGCUUAAAGCGAUGUAAUCGUAUACCGAGCUUCGCAACGGCCUUGGUUUGAGAUAGUUUCUCAUAUGCGCACUUCGUCGAUCAUGGUUUCCAGUAAAACAGCUAUCCGCCUUAACACCUAAUCCGCAGUUCUCAUACCACAGCCCACCUGCGCAGUCACAUGAGCAGUCUUGCUCAGGGCCCCGAGCGUCCCCUGUCAAUUAUCUUCUGAUGAGAUAUUCACACCUAGUUCCUCCCAUAAUCCCUUCUCUCCUCGCAGCGCCCGAGCAAAACCCCAAGCGUGUGACGCAAGUUAUAUACCCUUUGAGCAAAACGGAUGACCCCAUAUUGCCUCAACCAACUUAGCGGCUUCAUACUACUCCAUAAUGCCAUGCAGCGCCUCCUUCCUAAAACUCGCACGCAGCCGUCACACCUCACGGCACCUCAGUUCGCGUCUGCGCGACUCAAAAGCCCAUCCAAGGCUUCGGCUUACACCGCAGUGUAAGACAGUGAUAUUUCCGAUUAAAACCCCCAACCGCAGCUCCCAGAUGUCCCCCUGCGAAGCCACCGAUAUCACAUCCCGUCCACUUUUUCCCUUUCCCGUUCCGGCGAACAAGGACAAGAAAGGGAAUAUCGGGUGCCUCUAAAUUGCGGUGGCGCAGCGACUACUCCACUCCCAACUCCUAAGAUUCUACCCUUGCCAGGGUAGAUAUGUAUUUACCCAAUCGUCUGGCCCGUUAGGUCACUCGAUUGGCAUGACAUCCAGCCUCAGCCAAUGGCCAAUAAACCCACACCCUUGCCCAUCUCCACCUCGCCCCUGUCGCCCCUGCCCUUGCCGCCCGGCAUCAUCUUCCCGUCCGGACCCAUCCGCACAAAGCCCUCCUCCUCUAGUUCUUCUUCCACGCCCAUGUCGGCUCCCAGCACUGCCUGCGCCUUCUGGGCCGCCUCGCGCACGCCUGCCAGGUCAUCCGGCAGUGUACGGAAGUACCGUAUAAGCGUCUUGCUGCCCUCCUGCAUUGACCAGACAAACCCAUCGACCAGCAUGAGGAGCAAACAUGAGUCUCGGUAAUCAAUUAAUACUUUCCGCAGCCAACUAAAUGCUAUUAUUUAGAAAUCUGCAAGCAUGGGUCGCGAACACAUACACCUCAGCGUACAUCUCACCGUCCUCUUUUUGCAACAUUGCAAAAACCUGUAUGUUAGAAAUGCUGACCGUACCGAACCGAACCCUCCCAUGCUCCCGAACCGCCCUCGCGCCCCCCCCUCCACCUUGAGUUUGCGGUCCACACUUCCAUCCGGCUCCCACGAGUACAACCCGAACUUCAUCGUGUAGCCCGUGGCCCAUUCUAGAUUGUCGAUCAGCGUCCUGUCAUGAAGGCCGUUGUGAGAGGGAAACGGGUUAGGUUGGGGGGAAUAACCCUCCAGGGAAGGUGGGGCUGGGGAGUUGAACGGGGCUAUUAGCACAGUGCCAAUACCCGCUGUAUCCUGCGAAAGGGCAAGCCGUGACAAGGUGCGACAUGUAGAAAUUAACCAUACAACGCCGGAAAUGCCCAAGCACAGCACAAAGAACUUUUGCGUGGGGGGUAUGGCGUUUUUCAAUGGUCAAUGCGCAAUGGAAAGCUCGGGAAAGCUUCAAUGGAAAGCUUGAGAGGUAUACUGCAACAGGGUGUCAUGAAGGAGGGUGGAGAAUGUAGAUCGGAGAACCGUGUAUGGAGCGGGGGCCCAAUCCGGCCCAACCGCGAAUCCAACAGUCUAACAAUAUGGACAGGCGAACAUGGCACCCCUGCUGCUGCAGCUUCUGCCAAUACCUAUAUACAAAACCUCACCAGUAGUAGAAACCACGGACGUCGUAGCCCUCGGCCACAGCGCGCAUGACCUGGGGCCAAACAGCAGACAGCCGCGGCAUUCGUUCAACACUCAGCCAAAAAUAUUAUUAUUAGUUAUAUUAUUGAAGCUCUCCACCGUCACCUACCUCCUUGAAGUACGCGUCGAUCAUAAUCGCACGCCGAUCAUCCCUGGAAUCCGCAAUUCCGGUUUCCGUGAUGUACAUUGGGAUACCGAAUUCGGAGCAUCUGCGGAGAGUGUGGGACAUGGAUAGGGGUAGGGGUAGGUGCGGCGCCACACGGGGCACAGGUGGUUGGAGACUAAGUCGUCACUAAAGGGGUGGAUUUUAUUAGAGCUCCCCGUUUUGCAAAAAGUAACUCGCAGGGAAGGAAUGUUUAAGUUGCGUAGUGAUAACAACAACGCGCUCUCCUGCACGGCUCCCACCGACGAUGAACCCAGACUGAAUAGGUCGCCAGUUCUAGCCCGCGCGACAACAUAGUACCCAUCAUGACAAAAAAUAAACUUUUCCCUCUCUUCCAUCUCUCUGCAAGCACAAUCCUUUUAAAUUUACAAUGCCACAAAUGUCCAAAUCCACUUUGUCACGAGUACGCCCAUAGGAUAACUAGCCACGGAUAUAUCCUCAAACGCGGGUAGAUGUGCACUUUCGAUUGACGCCCUAUAUGUGCUACAGACACCGCCGUACAAGUGCCGUACAUCCGUACCUCUUAAUCGCGCGGUACAUUCCCUCGGGGUAGAUGGGGUAGUACAUGUCCGUCAUGACUUCUUGAUGUCGGCAGCUCGGUAGCAAGUACCAGGAGAAAAUGCCGCGUGAAUAGUAGUUGAUGCCCCACCAGUCGCACGGUGGCUUGCCGGCUGGAUCCUUCCAUUGCUGCCACACACCCAGCACCGGAAGCUUCCACACGAACUCGCCCGUCAGCAUCCAAUGCUCCACGACGUCCCAGCCCCACCAAUACGUCAUCCAAUCGGACAGCAUCCUGCAGCGCGCGCGGCGCGGCGUAGGUUGAUUUCCCGAACCUACCGCCUAUUACAUCAACAGCUGCUUUACCCUUGGAUUUCAAUUCGUCAUGGUAAAGAAGGUCUGAAACUCCCGGCCCUCCCCCUUCACAAAACCUCCACACCCUUCCAUUUCUGUAUCUCCCCUCCACCCCUGGAGCUUACUUGGCGACACCGUGUAAGAUGCCGUCCGCUUCCGCCUCGAAGGUAAUGUGGUGGCUCACGAGUCCAACUUGGGCCUUAUCCCCGCCCGGCAUCGCCUUGAUGGCCCGGUACGCCUCCACGUGCGCCUUCAGCAUGGUGCUCAGCAUGCGACCCGCACCAGCCAGGUCGAAGAUGCGGCCCGGGGGUGCAAUGCCCACAAUGAAGCCCAGGAACAUGUAGCACUGCACGGUGGGGCAGUGCGUGUCAUUUUUAACGACAAACUCACGGUAAGGUGCAUCAUUGCCAUGAAUGGUGUUCGUGGAUGGUGUGCCGGAAGCGAGAGCGGAGCGGCGAAGGAGCAGCGCGAAAAGGAGGGCCAUGACUUGGCGUGGCGUGGCGUGGCAUGGCGAGGAAAAUUUUAUUUGCAGAGCUGAGACUUUCCUUUCACCUUAAUGCGACAUGGCAUGACGACGGGAAGCCGCAUAUGGCAGGAAGAGGGGGGAGGAAGCGUAACUGGCUGCUUUCCUUCAGGCUGUAUAAAUAAGGCUGAUCCUUCAGGCUGUUAGGCUGUAUAAACUACGUUGUAUAGAUCAGGCUAUAAAAAUUAGGCUGUGGAAAUGAGUCUGGUUGCUCCAUCAUGAUUUACUUUCCGGCGCCGGUAGCUGCCGUACCGUUACCUGUUCCGUGAAAUGCCAGGAGCAAGAUCCCGUUCGGGGAGUCCCGAGGGAGGGCCGCCUCUCCUUACAUAACGUGCCAUCUGCCCACUGUCACGCCCUGUCACGCCCACAGCCUGCAUCAACCCAACAAAACUGUAACUCUUCAGCCCCGGAAAAUCCCCUCCCAAGCCCUCCCCUUGCCGUACCGUGGGCUCGUUGAAUGUGGCCCACAACCGGAUUCUGGAUCCGAACCACUCGAAGCAGCGCUUGCUGUACUCCACAAACGCCGGUAUGUUUUCCUCCCGGGUGAACCCCCCCGCGUCCUCGAACCACGUGGGAUGUACGAAGUGCCACAGGGUUGCGUUGGGCUCCAGUCCGUGAGCCUCCAUGCAGUCCAACAUCUGGUGGUACCUGAGGGCGGGAAAGGGGGGUUGGAGGGUAAGGGUAAGGGGAGGGUAAGGGAGGGUAAGGGAAAGGGGAGGGGGAGGGGGAGGGAAAGACGAACCACGAGCGAGUGAAGCUGCUGCCAAGGAAAGAGUGCUGCGACAGAUAUACACAGGGGGUGGGGGAGAGGAGGGGGCUUCCUGGGUCGGAACCUCCGACACUCCGCCGGAUCCCACUCAAUCCAAUCCCGGCCCCCCGCACCUUCGUACGGCCUCCAUGUCGAUGACUCCGCGCUGCGGCUCGAUACGCGCCCAUUCAAAGGAAAAGCGCAACGUUGUGCUGCCAAUGUCAGCGGCCAGCUUAAUGUCUCGCUCAUAGCUACGAAAGAAUGCAAGCAAGGAUAGCGUGAGCCAUGUGUGCCGCGCGAAGAACAACCAGCUGUCAGCAUGUGCCAUGCUUCGCCCGGCAGCUCAAACUCACGCCCAAUACCGUUGUGUCGAGUAAAAGAUAAGUAGCAGGCCCGCAGCGGAUGCGCGUGUUGAGGUGCGCGUUGCUAUCGGGAUGUUGCGAUGUGGUGCGCGCAAGGAUUGACACUUUGGAACCAAAAAAGUUGUCGAAACCCAGAGACGAAACCCGGAUACUUUUACGGCUAAAGAAGUAACGUCAUACAAUGCAUGUCUGUCUGUGAACCUGGCUUGAUCCGCCCAUGCGUGUCUAAAGAUGUAACGCUCGGGUGUUAAGCGCGCAUCGCCGCGCAAGCAACGUACUUGUUCCAGAAAUCGCUGCAUGCGUCAAUAUUGUACUUUCCCCGAAUAGCUUUGACGCCAAAAUAGCGGAAUGGCCAAAGGCUGUUGGCAAAGCGGGUCCAGUUGGAUCCUCCAUCGCCCGAAUUUUGCCAUACGCUUAUCGCAGUGCCUUUCAGGAAGCGAAUCUUCUCAGUCAGCUCAUUUGUGGAGUCAUUCGUGUCUCCGUUCAUGACCGCUCCAGCACCAUGCAGGUUCAUUAAGUGACAAACACUUAAAGUAGACGAUAGGGAUGAUGUUAUAUUCGCCAGAAAGGGAAAGGGCCAAGAACAGGCUUACGCUGCUCCAGCGCAAUUCGUACAAUUUUAAAACUCCUCAGGCCUUUCAGAACACUCCGAGACAGACAUCAUGGCAGCAUAAUGAUAUCAUGUAGUAGAUCUUUCAUCCUAAACGUCCCCAAUAAUCAACUGUUAGCGCUGCUGCAGCAUAGCUUGUUCUGCGUCGAAGAUCUAAACCUAGAAAGAUAACUCACCGCGGUGCUGCGCUCUAUGAGCUUUGAAUCGUGUGACGCUUCUUGCAUAUGUGGUCUAAUGAUAGCCGGAAUGUGAAGUGUUGUUACUUCAACGCCAACAAGCUUGCCCGCAAGCACCUGUACAGGGCCUGUGGCCUUGGCCUAACCCCUAAGCAGUACUUAUCGUGGCGUUGUGGUUCGAGGUGACUUGCCCAAGGCGAGAGCCCGGUAGAUCCAGGCUCGGCGUUUGAACCGUGCACGGAGGAGAUGUUUUUCCUCGUGGCUCUCCCCCUUAGUCCACAAGUUUUUGCGCCAUGGGCUCCUCCCGUUUAAAGGGCUCUCGAGGCGCACGUGCAAUCCAUUCUCUAGUACGGUGUCCAGGUUUAGGACGCGGUAUUACAAGAGCGGCAAACAUCCAAGUCGCCCACUAGCGGUCCAAGUUUAGGAACCUGGUGCGGUGCUGCGCGUGUUGGAACGGAGCAACAUGCAAUCAAACGUCUUGCUUCAAAGUGUGCAAAUACUAUCCCUGAGAGGCAAGUUGCUUGGCAAGUAGCUUCAGCGCUUUCCUCUGGCACUUCCUUCCAUAUGGAAGAAAUCUUCUGCAUUUUAGCUGCAACAGUGGGCAACGGUGUAGCGUUGUAUCUUGCCGAGCAAACAACCGAGUCAUGUACCCCGUUUAGGUGAUGCACCUCUCCCAUGGUGCACGAGCACGGUAAUGUGCAAGACUUACGGCUUUGGUUUGCUUUCAGCUUUCUUUGUUUUUUCUUACUUUUCUUCUUCCUUCUGCUCGUAAGCCUCUUGCCUCGUCUGGACCGUAGAGUACACGCUUUUAACGAUAACGAAAACAAACAACGAUACGAACAGAGGGUAACCUGCUGCAGUGGGAAUUCUCGGACGUAUGAACAUCGAGACAACGGCCUCUCGUGCACGAUAAAGGCAAGGCCAAGGAAAAGUUAGACCGAUGACCAUUAUCGUUUCGACCCAGGGGUCGUUAUCUACGGAAGACAGCUGUCCAGAGUGCAGUUGCGUGAAGCUUCGAAGACCAGGCCAGGAAUACAAUUCCGACAAUUGUAAAUCUUUGUCGCUUUACUUCUCAAAAAGCUUUUAGACAUCUAAGCUGUUACACGCUGACCUUAAUUUCAAAGCCCUCAACUAAACCACUCAAAUGCUGCUUUCGCUGCUACACAGAGGAACCGGCGUCCUUUCAGUUCACAGUCCAACUGAAUCCGCACGAUCGAAACCAACAACAAUCUGUCUUGCUUCAAACCGCCAGCACACCAACAUGAAUGACACCCCUCCCGCCGCUCCAAUCAGCCCUACAACCGCAACUGCCAACGGGCCAACUAGCUGCACCGUCAGCGAGCAAACCCGGACGCCACAGAACGAACUUAACGGGCCCCCUAGCAACCUUCCAUCACCUCCAGCUACAGCGCCAACCACCCAAAACGACCUCCGCUACCGCUUCCUCAAAGGCGUCGGCAUUUCCGUCUGGCAAUGCUCCGGCGAUCUUGGAUCCAACUGGACGCGUUUCGCGAGGGGCCGCUGGCCGCUGCGGCACUUCGGCGUUCGGGCGGUGCGCGGCGGCGUUGGCAUGGAGAAAGCCAACGGCUUCUGGGACAGGUGCGGACAGGUGCUAGUAGAGGUGCGGACAGGUGCACUUUCAUCAUCGAUAGCGCAAAAGAGCACGAAAUGUACAAAGUCUCCCCCCAUCCAUCAGCUCGCAGAUCGCGGUGUAGACGGGCUCCUAAGCCUUGCGAGUCUAGCCGGAUUAAGGGCACUGUUGGGGCCACCCAAGCCUAGCCUUCAGCCCCACGGGGCACACGCGCCUUGCCUGAGUGAAUGCAUUUUGAUGCAGAUCUGGUGUAGCAGCUUAUGCGCGUGUGUGUAUAUAUGGGUAUGUGUGUAUGUAUGUGUAUGCAUGUGUGUAUGUGCGUAUGUAUGUACGUGUGUAUGUACGUGUGUAUGUACGUGUGUAUGUACGUGUGUAUGUACGUGUGUAUGUACGUGUGUAUGUACGUGUGUAUGUACGUGUGUAUGUGUUUGCCCCGACUAACGGCGGAGGCGCCAAAUCUACGAUAGUGUGACAUGCAUACAUACAUACAGAUCACUAGGGUUAGGCACUACUGGUAACGCGCGAUCAAUGCCCCCGGGAGAUCCCGGGAUCAAGACCUGUCAGGGUCGAUAAUGUCUCAUGUCGACAUCCCCGCAACCCCUGGCCGCCGGCCUCGAUCCCUGGCCCUGGCGGCCGUGCUUAUGGCUGUGUUCUCUGGCGUUAUCUGUCAGGUACGAGGAGGACAUCAAGUUAGCUGCUGACCUGGGGUGCACCUCCUUCCGCUUUUCCCUGGAGUGGGCGCGCAUCGAGCCCGAGCGCGGAGUCAUUGACAUGGAGGCCGUACGAAGGCGCGUGGUAGGGCUUUUAACAGCACGUGCUGACGCUGGCCUGCGUGGUGUGAUGGUUGUGCUGAUGGUGAUGAUGCUGGAUGCGGUUGCGCGCGUGUGUGUGGGGGUGGGUGGGGGGUGGGUGGGAAGGGUUUUUCAUGUUGGGUAUUUUUUCGCCCUUACCCUACCUUCCCUUCCCUACCUUCGUUGGGCAUCAGCCGGCAACUGAUCGCUCGUCUUGUGUCGUCGUCGUAACCAUCAUCAUUAUUAUCAUUACCAUCAUGUGUUUUCGGGUCGUGGGAGAUUUCGGGUCGCGGAAGAUCCUCUCCCCCUCCCCUUACCCUCCCCUUACCCUCCCCUUACCCUCCCCUUACCCACCCCUCAACCUCCCCUUACCCACCCCUCAACCUCCCCUUACCCUCCCCUUAACCUCCCCUUACCCACCCCUCAACCUCCCCUUAACCUCCCCUUAACCUCCCCUUACCCACCCCUUACCUCCCCCUCCCCUUACCAGAACGCCUUUUGGUCAGUUCUACUUCUGGUACACUCUUUCCUUGGCAGCAGCUUCACUCGCUCGUGGUUCGUCUUUCCCUCCCCUCCCCUUACCCUCCCCCUCCCCUUUCCCUUACCCUCCCUCCCCUCCCUUACCCUCCCCUUACCCUCCAACCCCCCUUUCCUGCCCUCAGGUACCACCAGAUGUUGGACUGCAUGGAGGCUCACGGACUGGAGCCCAACGCAACCCUGUGGCACUUCGUACAUCCCACGUGGUUCGAGGACGCGGGGGGGUUCACCCGGGAGGAAAACAUACCGGCGUUUGUGGAGUACAGCAAGCGCUGCUUCGAGUGGUUCGGAUCCAGAAUCCGGUUGUGGGCCACAUUCAACGAGCCCACGGUACGGCAAGGGGAGGGCCUGGAAGGGCCGGCACACGGUGACGGUGGGAGCGGCGAGGAGAUGUUGGUGUCGGGGAGUGCGCGGGGAGGUCAGGACAGGUCCUGGGGCGGGUGGGCCAAAGCAGGGACCAUGAGCCUUCGUAACAUCCCUUCUUGUCGCCUUUCCACACGUCGUUCCCUUCUAGCAAGCAACUGAAUACAUCAGCGUACAGAUAUCACCCCCCUCCACACACCACACGCACACGCACACGUGGGAGAGUGAGGCGCAGCGUCCCCAGCUGCGCUGCACCGGCGGGGCGGAGAGCGCUUGCCAGGAACCGCCAGGCUCUCCGCGUCUCUCCCACUACACCAGGUCGACACCGUGUCCGUCCCGACCCGGCCCGCCACGCUCUCCCCCACGCUCCCCUCCUGGCAGCAGCUUCACUCGCUCGUGGUUCGUGUUUUCCCCUUCCUCAAUUGAUUUACCUCGCUGUGGUAUCUGCUGCUUCACUCUUCUGUGGUUCGUCUUACCCCGUCCUGUCCCCGCUCGUUCCCACGCCCCCCGAACCGGGUGCUGCACCCCCGUCUGCACCAGUGCUACCUCCUACUCGGCUGGAUCAUCGGAAUCUCCCCUCCGGGCCAUUUCAUGAACGUGGCUGGUGCGGGUCGCAUGCUGAGCACCAUGCUGAAGGCGCACGUGGAGGCGUACCGGGCCAUCAAGGCGAUGCCGGGCGGGGAUAAGGCCCAAGUUGGCCUCGUGAACCACCACAUUACCUUCGAGGCGGAAGCGGACGGCAUCUUACACGGUGUCGCCAAGUAAGCUCCAGGGGUGGAGGGGAGAUAGAGGUUAAAAGCUUUCUCUCCGAGGCCUGCGAGACUGGGGUGGCUAUGGGGCACAUACGUAUAGGUCAUACUGGUCAGGCACUACUGGUAGAGCACGAACUGAUGCCCCCUGAGGUUCCGGGAUCGAAACCUGUUAGGGUCGGAUAUCUUUCCGAUGGUGAAAGUGCCCCUUAUCGGUGGAUGGUGGUGACCUGGGAUGACUUUCGAGCUGACCAGGAAUGGAGAUGAGCCGCCUCCGUUGAUCCGGCAGAUUCCGUUGGAUGCUGGUGGUGGGUGCGGAACCCGAGCGAUCCACUGAGAAGUUGACUAGGGUGACUGGAUGGGGAUGCCCCGAAAUACCAGGGAAGGCAGGGUUUCGCUGCCACGGGCGAAGAUACACCCCCCUGUUUCACACAUCAUACUAAAGGGGUUUAGGGUUCCGUUCCGCCUCUUUCGUCUCUUUUGGGAACGCGCACAGCAUCACCGCACCGUUAUCGCACCGUUAUCGCACCGUUAUCGCACCGCCGGUAUAAAUCGAUAAUCGACAAACCGGGAUGUGACGUUCCCCAGGUAACCCACCGGGAUUUUGGUUUUUUGGAUGAAUCCUUCUUGAGUUCCUUUUAUUGCGAACCGCUUCUUUGCCUGCAUGUACGGCAUGUACGGUAUCCGUUCCGCAAGCAGGGUGGUUGCGGAAUGGAUGACGUACUGGGUGGGUUGCAAUGUCAUGGAGCAUUGGAUGCUGACGGGCGAGUUCGUGUGGAAAGUGCCGGUGCUGGGUGUUUGGAAAAGGUGGCGCGACCCAGCCGGCAAGCCACCGUGCGACUGGUGGGGCAUCAACUACUAUUCACGCGGCGUAGUUAGCUGGUGUCUCACGCCCACACAUCGACAACAAGAAGUCAUGACGGACAUGUACUACCCCAUCUACCCCGAGGGAAUGUACCGCGCGAUUAAGAGGUACGGAUGUACGGCACUUGUACGGCGGUGUAGUACGGCACUCCGCGUGUGAUGAUAAAAAAAACCAUGUGGUCGCUGGGGUUAUUUCCUGCUAGCGAAGGGCAUGAGCUGCGAGCAUAAUAAGGCUAUUUCCUUUUGUGAUGUUGUUGUGUAGUGUUGCUGUGUAGAGGGUUUAGGUUGUUGUUUGCCAUAAACCGGGAGCUCUAAUAAAAUCCACCCCUUUAGUGACGACUUAGUCUCCAAUCACCUGUGCCCCGUGUGGCGCCUCACCUCCCCCUACCCCUACCCCUACCCCUGUCCCACACUGUCCGCAGAUGCUCCGAAUUCGGUAUCCCAAUGUACAUCACGGAAACCGGAAUUGCGGAUGCCAGGGAUGAUCGGCGUGCCGCUAUGAUUGAGGCCUACCUGCAGCAGGUGUGUACGGCGUUGUAUUACGACAAUAUGCGCACACGGUGGUGGUUAUGCUGUCUAAGCUCGCUCUCAUGUGUUGGGAGGCGCCGUGUGCCGUACGGCCGUACGGCCCCUCCUGGGCAUCAACCUCCCCCUCAUCCGCGACCCUCCGACAGCCACCUGCUGCCCCCCCCCUUACUACACACCUCGACCCUACGUCCUCUUGGUGCUCUCUCCCCCUCUCCACCGGCCCGCCUGGCCUCGCCUUCCCGCCUUUCCAACCGUCUCCCCAGUCCUCUCGCUCCCCCGGCCUCUGUUUUCCACGAUGCAUGUAUGUAUGUAUGUAUGUAUGUAUGUAUGUAUGUUACACCUUGAGCGCGGUAUCUGUGUGUAUGGAAGGGAGGGUUCAGCUGGUGUAUCGUCGUACCGUCGUAUGAUACGACUCGUAUCGUCAGCAUCCCCCUUGCAUGUUCUUUCGCUCGGGGGCAGGGGGCCAAGGAAUAAUAAUGUCUGGAGGAGCAAUGUCCCGACCUGCAGAUGUCCAUCCACCACACAGCCAGCCACCCACCCACCCAGUGCGAUGUACCAACGGGAAGAAGACAGCGAAGACAGCGAAAAGUAGAGGAAAAACUAUGUUACGUGUGUAAAUGUCUUCUACAUUUACGUUCUUUUGUGUGCUUGUGUGCUUGUGUCCAUGUCGUACCUUGAUCCAGUAGCUCCUCCCCUCCCCCGCAACUCCCCUCCCCUCCGCACCUAACCAGGUGCUCCACGCCAUUGCGGACGGCUGCGACGUGCGGGGAGUGUACUACUGGUGGGCAAUAACUGUCAUGUUUGUUGUUCGUUGUUCGUUGCGGUUUGAGUUGAGAGAAGAAAGGAAGCAUAAAAGCUGUUUCAAUUCAAAAGCAAGUUGAUCGUUGACGGUUGAGUUGGGAGUUAAUGUAGUAAUGUAGUGUUGCAUGCGUCAUGCGGUGUUUGGGUCGUCCUUUCUGCUGUCGUCCGGUUUGUGUGUGCGACAGGGCGCCAUAUCAUUAGCUCAUGAGAUCAUGGGCGAGAAAACGCUUCUUCUCGGCGGCCCUUGACCUUUGUGGCAUCUUUCCUUCUCCUUGCCCUAAACGCCCUGUUAAUCGCCAUCUCAUCAUCUCCAUCAUCAUUUCCAUCAUCAUUUCCAUCAUCACUCCAUCAUCAUCGCCAUCAUCAUCGUUGUCGGCUUAUCCGUCGCGCCUGGUGGGGCCUUACUAAACACUCAGGACGCUGGUGGACGCGUUGGAAUGGGCCACGGGCUACACGAUGAAGUUCGGGUUGUACUCGUGGGAGCCGGAUGGCAGUGUGGACCGCAAACUCAAGGUGGAGGGGGGGGGCAGCGAGGGCGGUUGGGGAGCAUGGGAGGGUUCGGUUGGGUUUGGUCAGCAUUUUUAACUUAAGAGUUUUGCAUACGGGUUUUGCUUAAAAAAACAGAGGGUGGGGAAAAACCUCCUCCCUCCCUUUUUUGUUUUAUUUUUAUUUUAUUUUUAUUUUUUAUUUUAUUAAAGGGACGAGGAGGGCGAGGAAAAACGCUUGGGAAUGCAGGGGAGAAAAGAUGGGUGGGCCUUUUGCGUUUCGUGGUCUGUGGUCUCCUUCCGUUUUCAAUCAACUCCCUUCCAAAGCUCUCCUGUCGCACUCCUCCCUAAGCCCCUUCUCACACCCCUGCGGCUCUGCCCUCUCGCACAUGCAUCCAUCAUGCAUCUGGGCCAUCCACCUUGAGACCGCGCUUGCAGGAGGGCAGCAUCGCACUAAAGCAGCUGUACCACAGGCUGCCGGACGCCUUGCCUGCGCUCCGUCGAGUCGCGCGCGAGCGCAUCAUGGCGCAAGAGCUCGAACGUGUGUCACACGGAGGGCGCUAGUACGGGCGCGGGUGGUGGGGGGGGUGCUAGUACGGAUAUGGAGGGUAGCAAAAGCAGCAGCGGCGGCGGUCCAGGACCACCAGGUUCUGGGGGAUGCAGCGGCGGCGCUGGAGUAGUAGUAGUAGUAGUAGUAGUAGUGCUGCGGCCGCAGUGGCGAAUGGUGGAUGGCUGGUGCAAGGCCGGAGGCAGAAUGGAUUUUGGGGCAAAUAAUUUUUUUUCUGAUUUUGUUUGCAUGCAUUAUCUGCAGGUGCAUCUGCUCUGCCGAAUAUUUGUUGCCAGUGCAUUCAUAGCACCGAUGCCUUAGCUAUAGCAGAGACCCCACGGCCGCGAUUCCGUGGUCAGUGAUGCGUAGUAGGUUUCUCAACAGUCUCGUUCUCUGCUUUACUCGGAAGCGUUUGUUGCCUAGACCCUCCUAGAGUUUCUCCUAGGCGCGAGGCAAAGCAAAGAGCCCCAAGGUGUUGUCUUGGACCUUAUUAUAAGCUUGGAGAGCUCUGGGCUGGGCGCGCUCGUGUUUGCCACACGUACAUACAUAUAACACUCUGAAGUCGGAUGGGGUGACGGAUUAGGGUGCCCCUCUAGCAGGGGAGAGCAGGGACUGCCCCGGGAAAGGGGGCCGCUGGCGAAGUUAACCACCCUGUAACAACAUACAUAACAAAGGAUUGUUG